GUGCUUGCUUCGGCAGCACAUCUACUAAAGUUGGAAUGAUAGAAGAUUAGCAUGGCCCCUGCGCAAGGAUAAUACGCAAAUUGUGAAGCAUUCCAUAUUAAA